rnacentral:snoRNA from 1 species
ACGUGAUGAGAUUUAUAGCUGGCACCAGUCAUAGGGGUUUUUUGUACUCUCUCCCUUUGAUGAUCAAGCUUUUGAAUACACUUCAUUUCUGAA